rnacentral:misc_RNA from 1 species
UUUCCGUAGGUGAACCUGCGGAAGGAUCAUUAUUGUAUAACCGAGGUGCGAGGGCUGUCGCUGACCCGAAAGGUCGUGCACGCCCGAGUGCCCUCACCCACAUCCAUCUCACCCCUUUGUGCACCUCCGCGUGGGUCCCCCUUUGGCUUGUUCGGAGGGGGGCUUACGUUUUCACACAAACUUUGUAUGCAGUGUAGAAUGUAUUUUUUGUUUUUGCGAUCACGCAAUCAAUACAACUUUCAACAACGGAUCUCUUGGCUCUC